UACGAAGGUGGCAAGCGUUACUCGGAAUUACUAGGCGUAAAGGGCAGGUAGGUGGUUCGGUAAGUCUGUUGUGUAAGCUCCUGGCUUAACUGGGAGAGGUCAACGGAAACUACCGGACUUGAGUAUAGGAGAGGUUACUGGAAUUCCCGGUGUAGCGGUGAAAUGCGCAGAGAUCGGGAGGAACACCAAUGGCGAAAGCAGGUAACUGGACUAUUACUGACACUCAGCUGCGAAAGCUAGGGGAGCAAACAGG
rnacentral:rRNA from 1 species